rnacentral:rRNA from 1 species
UGGCGAACGGGUGAGUAACGCGUGAGGAACCUGCCUAAAAGAGGGGGACAACAGUUGGAAACGACUGCUAACACCGCAUAAGCCCACGGCUCGGCAUCGAGCAGGGGGAAAAGGAGUGAUCCACUUUGAGAUGGCCUCGCGUCCGAUUAGCUAGUUGGUGAGGUAACGGCCCACCAAGGCGACGAUCGGUAGCCGGACUGAGAGGUUGAACGGCCACAUUGGGACUGAGACACGGCCCAG